GGAAGGUCCGGGCGUUAUCCGGAUUUAUUGGGUUUAAAGGGAGCGCAGGCUGCGAGGCAAGUCAGCGGUCAAAUGUCGGGGCUCAACCCCGGCCUGCCGUUGAAACUGUCCUGCUAGAGUUCGAGUGGGGUAUGCGGAAUGCGUUGUGUAGCGGUGAAAUGCAUAGAUAUGACGCAGAACUCCGAUUGCGAAGGCAGCAUACCAACUCGCGACUGACGCUGAGGCACGAAAGCGUGGGGAUAGAACAGGAUUAGAUACCCUGGUAUUCCACGCCGUAAACGAUGAUGGCUAACCGCCGGCGACACACUGUCGGCGGCCAAGCGAAAGCAUUAAGCAUCCCACCUGGGGAGU
rnacentral:rRNA from 1 species